rnacentral:rRNA from 1 species
GAUGAACGCUAGCUACAGGCUUAACACAUGCAAGUCGAGGGGAAACGACAUCGAAAGCUUGCUUUUGGUGGGCGUCGACCGGCGCACGGGUGAGUAACGCGUAUCCAACCUUCCCGUUGCUAGGGGAUAACCUUGCGAAAGUAAGACUAAUACCCUAUGAAGUUCUUCGCAGGCAUCUAAAGAGAACGAAAGAUUUAUCGGCAACGGAUGGGGAUGGGCAUGCGGCGCAUUAGCUAGUUGGCGGGGCAACGGCCCACCAAGGCGACGAUGCGUAGGGGUUCUGAGAGGAAGGUCCCCCACACUGGUACUGAGACACGGACCAGACUCCUACGGGAGGCAGCAGUGAGGAAUAUUGGUCAAUGGGCGCAGGCCUGAACCAGCCAAGUCGCGUGAGGGAGGACGGUCCUACGGGAUUGGUAAAACCUCUUUUGUCCGGGGGAGUAACGUGCGGGACGCGUCCCGUAUUGAGAGUACCCGAAGAAAAAGCAUCGGCUAACUCCGUG